rnacentral:rRNA from 1 species
UGGGGAAUAUUGGGCAAUGGGCGCAAGCCUGACCCAGCAACGCCGCGUGAAGGAAGAAGGCUUUCGGGUUGUAAACUUCUUUUAUCAGGGACGAACAUAAUGACGGUACCUGAUGAAUAAGCCACGGCUAACUACGUGCCAGCAGCCGCGGUAAUACGUAGGUGGCAAGCGUUAUCCGGAUUUACUGGGUGUAAAGGGCGUGUAGGCGGGCUAGCAAGUCAGAUGUGAAAACUAUGGGCUCAACCCAUAGCCUGCAUUUGAAACUGUUGGUCUUGAGUGCUGGAGAGGCAAUCGGAAUUCCGUGUGUAGCGGUGAAAUGCGUAGAUAUACGGAGGAACACCAGUGGCGAAGGCGGAUUG